GAUGAACGCUGGCGGCGUGCCUAAUACAUGCAAGUCGAGCGAACGGACGAGAAGCUUGCUUCUCUGAUGUUAGCGGCGGACGGGUGAGUAACACGUGGAUAACCUACCUAUAAGACUGGGAUAACUUCGGGAAACCGGAGCUAAUACCGGAUAAUAUUUUGAACCGCAUGGUUCAAAAGUGAAAGAGGUCUUGCUGUCACUUAUAGAUGGAUCCGCGCUGCAUUAGCUAGUUGGUAAGGUAACGGCUUACCAAGGCAACGAUGCAUAGCCGACCUGAGAGGGUGAUCGGCCACACUGGAACUGAGACACGGUCCAGACUCCUACGGGAGGCAGCAGUAGGGAAUCUUCCGCAAUGGGCGAAAGCCUGACGGAGCAACGCCGCGUGAGUGAUGAAGGUCUUCGGAUCGUAAAACUCUGUUAUUAGGGAAGAACAUAUGUGUAAGUAACUGUGCACAUCUUGACGGUACCUAAUCAGAAAGCCACGGCUAACUACGUG
rnacentral:rRNA from 1 species